UACGUAGGGUCCGAGCGUUGUUCGGAUUCAUUGGGCGUAAAGGGUGCGUAGGUGGCGCGCUAAGUCAGGUGUGAAAUUUCGGAGCUUAACUCCGAAACUGCAUUUGAUACUGGCGUGCUUGAGGACUGGAGAGGAGACUGGAAUUCCCGGUGUAGUGGUGAAAUGCGUAGAUAUCAGGAGGAACACCGGUGGCGAAGGCG
rnacentral:rRNA from 1 species